GUACUGGCUUCAGCAGCACACGUACAAAAAUUGGAAUGACACAGAAGAGAUUAGCAUAGCCCCUGCACAAGGAUGACAUGCAAAUUCAUGAAGCUUUCGGAUUUAAA
ensembl:snRNA U6 U6 spliceosomal RNA